rnacentral:tRNA from 1 species
GGAGGGUAUAGCUCAGUGGUAGAGCACAUGCUUAGCAUGCUUGAGGUCCUGGGUUCAAUCCCCAGUACCUCCA